rnacentral:rRNA from 1 species
AAAUUGAAGAGUUUGAUCAUGGCUCAGAUUGAACGCUGGCGGCAGGCCUAACACAUGCAAGUCGAACGGUAACAGAAAGCAGCUUGCUGCUUUGCUGACGAGUGGCGGACGGGUGAGUAAUGUCUGGGAAACUGCCUGAUGGAGGGGGAUAACUACUGGAAACGGUAGCUAAUACCGCAUAACGUCGCAAGACCAAAGAGGGGGACCUUCGGGCCUCUUGCCAUCGGAUGUGCCCAGAUGGGAUUAGCUAGUAGGUGGGGUAACGGCUCACCUAGGCGACGAUCCCU